UUAUGGCCAUAUCACAUUGAAACAUUGGUUCUCAUAUGAUCACGAAAGUUAAGCAAUGUCAAGCCUGGUCAAUACCUAGAUGGGUAGCUGCUUAGGAAUACCAGGUGCUGUAAG